rnacentral:rRNA from 1 species
GACGAACGCUGGCGGCGUGCUUAACACAUGCAAGUCGAACGGAAAGGCCUGCUUUCCCUUGUGGAUUGCGGGUACUCGAGUGGCGAACGGGUGAGUAACACGUGAGUGAUCUGCCCCCAACUUGGGUAUAGGCCUGGGAAACUGGGUCUAAUUCCCGAUAGGACUGCAGGGUGGUGCCUGUGGUGGAAAACGAUUUUCUAGUGGUUGGGGAUGAGCUCGCGGCCUAUCAGCUUGUUGGUGGGGUAAUGGCCUACCAAGGCGGCGACGGGUAGCCGGCCUGAGAGGGUGGACGGCCACAUUGGGACUGAGAUACGGCCCAGACGCCUACGGGAGGCAGCAGUGGGGAAUAUUGCACAAUGGGCGGAAGCCUGAUGCAGCGACGCCGCGUGGGGGAUGACGGCCUUCGGGUUGUAAACUCCUUUCGACCGCGAGGAAGCCACCUGGUUGGAAGGGUGGUGACGGUAGUGGUAGAAGAAGCACCGGCUAACUACGUG